UGCGCAGGCGGUUUUGUAAGUCUGACGUGAAAUCCCCGGGCUCAACCUGGGAAUUGCGUUGGAGACUGCAAGGCUAGAAUCUGGCAGAGGGGGGUAGAAUUCCACGUGUAGCAGUGAAAUGCGUAGAAAUGUGGAGGAACACCGAUGGCGAAGGCAGCCCCCUGGGUCAAGAUUGACGCUCAUGCACGAAAGCGUGGGAGCAAACA
rnacentral:rRNA from 1 species